UUUAUGACACUGUAUGUACAUACACAUGGAUGCACGAACGUAUGUGGGGCGCACAUACAUGCCUCAGCGCUCGUCUGUUCUGAAGACAACUUUCCAAUGUCAAUUCUUUCCUUCCACUAAGUAGACUGUAGAGUUCAGAAGCAGGUUCGGACUUGGCAGCUUCACCAGCUGAGCCAUCCUGGCUGCCCUAUCUACUGUCUUUCCACCCCACUCUGAUUAGAUGAAGCCCUCGGGGACAGAGACCCAUCAGUGCCCUGUCUAGAAGAGUGCUCAGAACACAGCAGGCGAAGAAGGGGGCUUCAGACUCUUCCUCUCUUUGGCUUCAGCAUUCCGUCUACAGUGUGCAAGACUGGAGCCCCUCCAACAACAUGGCCAGCCCAGUUUCUCUGGACACCAAGGCAGGUGCUCCAGACUCCUGGGGUCAGCAUGUGGGAGGGACCAGAGGUCCAUCUAGUUACCCACAGUCCCAUGCAGCAGAUACUGGGGAAGGGUAGAGAGAGGAUGGACUGGCUGACGGGGUCCAGCCACACACUGAAGACAACCACGCUUCCAGCCUUCCUGAAGGCUGUGUACUCUGCCCAUAUUGUCCACUGCUCCUCAGUCCUCUGGGAGAUGAGAAGUGAUGUUAUAGAGCACGAUGACAAAUUUCAGUCCAGAGGCACCCAGAUUAGAUUCGACACCCGCCUGUGACCCUUGCAGAGAAGCAGGCUGAGGACCCAUGCCAGCCUGUGUCUGCUUGGAAUCCCGUCCUUCUCAGGCACUGAUUGGGGAGGACAAACGCCACAAUGUGGGGAGUCUUUAGGAGUGAAAGAAGCUAACAGUAGAGCGACAUGAGAGAGGAGAAAGCCAGCCAACUUGGUAAACAAAGAGAAGAGGCCAGAGGGCAGCAGGCUAAGCGAUAAUGCCUGGGACUGCAAAGAGCUGAGUAAUGCAGGAGAGAGAGAGAGAGAGAGAGAGAGAGAGGAGUCCCAGUGACAGCCACUCCACAGCACUGCCGCACACACUGUCAGCCGAGGCACCCAUGGGUGACAGACACCCUCCUCUACAGGGGCCAUACUCCUUGGGACACUCAGGCUCCCCCUUUCUCCCCACCUCUACUCCUUGGGAUUCCUCUUUGCGCUCUCUCUUCUUGAGUUUCUAAAGGCUGAGUGAGGGGUCCUGUCAUCACUUAGCUCUUGACAUUGGGAACAUCAGACCGACCUUCGGGGACUUCACUGGGCCAUGGAGCUUCUACCUCAGUCGGAGAGGAAAGAUCUCGUUUUGGACACAUUAGAACGUUAUGGUGCCUUUGUGCUAGGACAGUGCCCACAGAAGCCGACCUUUUAACCCCAUGCCCCGGCAGCUCUGUGAGGUUGCAGUGCAUGGAUUUUUGGUUUUUGGUUUUGUUUAAUAAUGAACUUACAUGCACAUUUCUUAGGAGCCCCUGUACUAGCUGGUUUUCUGUCAACUUGACACAAGCUACAGUCAUCAGAGAGGAAGGAGCCUCAGCUGAAGAAACGCCUCCAUGAGAUCCGGCUGUAAGGCAUUUUCUCAAUUACUGGGGGAGGGCCCAGCCCAUUGGGAGUGGUGCCACCUCUGGGCUGGUGGUCUUGGGGUCUAUAAGAAAGCGGGCUGAGCAAGCCAUGGGGAAUAAGCCAGUAAGCUGCCCUCCUCCAUGGCCUCUGCACCAGCUCCUGCCUCCAGUUUCCAACCCUGCUUGAGUUCCUGUUCUGACUUCCUUUGGUGAUGAAGAGCAAUGUGGAAA